UACGUAGGGGGCAAGCGUUGUCCGGAUUUAUUGGGCGUAAAGAGCGUGUAGGCGGCCUUACAGGUCAGCUGUGAAAACUCGAGGCUCAACCUCGAGACGUCGGUUGAAACCGUAAGGCUAGAGUCCGGAAGAGGAGAGUGGAAUUCCCGGUGUAGCGGUGAAAUGCGCAGAUAUCGGGAAGAACACCCGUGGCGAAGGCGGCUCCCUGGGACGGUACUGACGCUGAGACGCGAAAGCGUGGGGAGCGAACAGG
rnacentral:rRNA from 1 species